AUUGAACGCUGGCGGCAGGCCUAACACAUGCAAGUCGAGCGGAUGAAAGGAGCUUGCUCCUGGAUUCAGCGGCGGACGGGUGAGUAAUGCCUAGGAAUCUGCCUGGUAGUGGGGGACAACGUUUCGAAAGGAACGCUAAUACCGCAUACGACCUACGGGAGAAAGCAGGGGACCUUCGGGCCUUGCGCCAUCAGAUGAGCCUAGGUCGGAUUAGCUAGUUGGUGAGGUAAUGGCUCACCAAGGCGACGAUCCGUAACUGGUCUGGGAGGAUGAUCAGUCACACUGGAACUGAGACACGGUCCAGACUCCUACGGGAGGCAGCAGUGGGGAAUAUUGGACAAUGGGCGAAAGCCUGAUCCAGCCAUGCCGCGUGUGUGAAGAAGGUCUUCGGAUUGUAAAGCACUUUAAGUUGGGAGGAAGGGUUGUGUGUUAAUAGCACAUCAUCUUGACGUUACUCGCAGAAGAAGCACCGGCUAACUCUGUGCCAGCCGCCGCGGUAACAC
rnacentral:rRNA from 1 species